GGGUUGUGAGGUUAAGCGACUAAGCGUACACGGUGGAUGCCCUGGCAGUCAGAGGCGAUGAAGGACGUGCUAAUCUGCGAAAAGCGUCGGUAAGGUGAUAUGAACCGUUAUAACCGGCGAUGUCCGAAUGGGGAAACCCAGUGCAAUUCGUUGCACUAUCGUUAACUGAAUACAUAGGUUAACGAGGCGAACCGGGGGAACUGAAACAUCUAAGUACCCCGAGGAAAAGAAAUCAACCGAGAUUCCCCCAGUAGCGGCGAGCGAACGGGGAGCAGCCCAGAGUCUGAAUCAGCUUGUGUGUUAGUGGAACGGUCUGGAAAGUCCGACGGUACAGGGUGAUAGUCCCGUACACCAAAAUGCACAGGCUGUGAACUCGAAGAGUAGGGCGGGACACGUGGUAUCCUGUCUGAAUAUGGGGACCAUCCUCCAAGGCUAAAUACUCCUGACUGACCGAUAGUGAACCAGUACCGUGAGGGAAAGGCGAAAAGAACCCCGGCGAGGGGAGUGAAAAAGAACCUGAAACCGUGUACGUACAAGCAGUGGGAGCACCUUCGGGUGUGACUGCGUACCUUUUGUAUAAUGGGUCAGCGACUUAUAUUCUGUAGCAAGGUUAACCGUAUAGGGGAGCCGCAGGGAAACCGAGUCUUAACUGGGCGUUAAGUUGCAGGGUAUAGACCCGAAACCCGGUGAUCUAGCCAUGGGCAGGUUGAAGGUUGGGUAACACUAACUGGAGGACCGAACCGACUAAUGUUGAAAAAUUAGCGGAUGACUUGUGGCUGGGGGUGAAAGGCCAAUCAAACCGGGAGAUAGCUGGUUCUCCCCGAAAGCUAUUUAGGUAGCGCCUCGUGAACUCAUCUUCGGGGGUAGAGCACUGUUUCGGCUAGGGGGUCAUCCCGACUUACCAACCCGAUGCAAACUACGAAUACCGAAGAAUGUUAUCACGGGAGACACACGGCGGGUGCUAACGUCCGUCGUGAAGAGGGAAACAACCCAGACCGCCAGCUAAGGUCCCAAAGUCAUGGUUAAGUGGGAAACGAUGUGGGAAGGCACAGACAGCCGGAUGUUGGCUUAGAAGCAGCCAUCAUUUAAAGAAAGCGUAAUAGCUCACUGGUCGAGUCGGCCUGCGCGGAAGAUGUAACGGGGCUAAACCAUGCACCGAAGCUGCGGCAGCGACACUAUGUGUUGUUGGGUAGGGGAGCGUUCUGUAAGCCUGCGAAGGUGUGCUGUGAGGCAUGCUGGAGGUAUCAGAAGUGCGAAUGCUGACAUAAGUAACGAUAAAGCGGGUGAAAAGCCCGCUCGCCGGAAGACCAAGGGUUCCUGUCCAACGUUAAUCGGGGCAGGGUGAGUCGACCCUAAGGCGAGGCCGAAAGGCGUAGUCGAUGGGAAACAGGUUAAUAUUCCUGUACUUGGUGUUACUGCGAAGGGGACGGAGAAGGCUAUGUUAGCCGGGCGACGGUUGUCCCGGUUUAAGCAUGUAGGCUGGUUGUCCAGGCAAAUCCGGAUAAUCAAGGCUGAGGUGUGAUGACGAGGCACUACGGUGCUGAAGUAACAAAUGCCCUGCUUCCGUGAAAAGCCUCUAAGCAUCAGGUAACAUCAAAUCGUACCCCAAACCGACACAGGUGGUCAGGUAGAGAAUACCAAGGCGCUUGAGAGAACUCGGGUGAAGGAACUAGGCAAAAUGGUGCCGUAACUUCGGGAGAAGGCACGCUGGUGUGUAGGUGAAGUCCCUGCGGAUGGAGCUGAGACCAGUCGAAGAUACCAGCUGGCUGCAACUGUUUAUUAAAAACACAGCACUGUGCAAACACGAAAGUGGACGUAUACGGUGUGACGCCUGCCCGGUGCCGGAAGGUUAAUUGAUGGGGUUAUCCGUAAGGAGAAGCUCUUGAUCGAAGCCCCGGUAAACGGCGGCCGUAACUAUAACGGUCCUAAGGUAGCGAAAUUCCUUGUCGGGUAAGUUCCGACCUGCACGAAUGGCGUAAUGAUGGCCAGGCUGUCUCCACCCGAGACUCAGUGAAAUUGAACUCGCUGUGAAGAUGCAGUGUACCCGCGGCAAGACGGAAAGACCCCGUGAACCUUUACUAUAGCUUGACACUGAACAUUGAGCCUUGAUGUGUAGGAUAGGUGGGAGGCUUUGAAGCGUGGACGCCAGUCUGCGUGGAGCCAACCUUGAAAUACCACCCUUUAAUGUUUGAUGUUCUAACGUUGGCCCCUUACCGGGGUUGCGGACAGUGUCUGGUGGGUAGUUUGACUGGGGCGGUCUCCUCCCAAAGCGUAACGGAGGAGCACGAAGGUUAGCUAAUCCUGGUCGGACAUCAGGAGGUUAGUGCAAUGGCAUAAGCUAGCUUGACUGCGAGCGUGACGGCGCGAGCAGGUGCGAAAGCAGGUCAUAGUGAUCCGGUGGUUCUGAAUGGAAGGGCCAUCGCUCAACGGAUAAAAGGUACUCCGGGGAUAACAGGCUGAUACCGCCCAAGAGUUCAUAUCGACGGCGGUGUUUGGCACCUCGAUGUCGGCUCAUCACAUCCUGGGGCUGAAGUAGGUCCCAAGGGUAUGGCUGUUCGCCAUUUAAAGUGGUACGCGAGCUGGGUUUAGAACGUCGUGAGACAGUUCGGUCCCUAUCUGCCGUGGGCGCUGGAGAAUUGAGGGGGGCUGCUCCUAGUACGAGAGGACCGGAGUGGACGCAUCACUGGUGUUCGGGUUGUCAUGCCAAUGGCACUGCCCGGUAGCUAAAUGCGGAAGAGAUAAGUGCUGAAAGCAUCUAAGCACGAAACUUGCCCCGAGAUGAGUUCUCCUGAGACUUUAAGUCUCCUGAAGGAACGUUAAAGACGAUGACGUUGAUAGGCCGGGUGUGUAAGCGCAGCGAUGCGUUGAGCUAACCGGUACUAAUGAACCGUGAGGCUUAACCUUACAACGCCGAAG
rnacentral:rRNA from 1 species